rnacentral:rRNA from 1 species
AGUGAACGCUGGCGGUAGGCCUAACACAUGCAAGUCGAACGGCAGCACAGAGGAGCUUGCUCCUUGGGUGGCGAGUGGCGGACGGGUGAGGAAUACAUCGGAAUCUACUCUGUCGUGGGGGAUAACGUAGGGAAACUUACGCUAAUACCGCAUACGACCUACGGGUGAAAGCAGGGGAUCUUCGGACCUUGCGCGAUUGAAUGAGCCGAUGUCGGAUUAGCUAGUUGGCGGGGUAAAGGCCCACCAAGGCGACGAUCCGUAGCUGGUCUGAGAGGAGGGUCAGCCACACUGGAAAUGAGACACGGUCCAGACGCCUACGGGAGGCAGCAGUGGGGAAUAUUGGACAAUGGGCGCAAGCCUGAUCCAGCCAUACCGCGUGGGUGAAGAAGGCCUUCGGGUUGUAAAGCCCUUUUGUUGGGAAAGAAAUCCAUCUGGUUAAUACCCGGGUGGGAUGACGGUACCCAAAGAAUAAGCACCGGCUAACUUCGUGCCAGCCGCCGCCGUAA